CCCUGUGAUAGGAAAAGACCCAUUUUUCUACUGAAACUGAAAUGAGCACCAGGUUUCUCUUUUUAGUGACCAUUUUUCUCCUGGGGACAGACCCUAUGGAUGCUGGAGUCACACAGAUCCCAAGGCUUCUGAUCAAGGGAAAGGGACAGAAGGGGAUCCUGAGAUGUGAACAGGACUUAGGUGAUGAUGCUAUGUUCUGGUAUCGGCAGGACACCAACCAUGAGAUCCGUGUUAUGUUUGUCUACAAUUAUCAAAAACCUGUUAUAAAUGAGACUGAUUCCAAUCGCUUUGAAGUGGAAUCUCUCAAGACAGAACUGAAUCUUCAGAUAAAACUUCUUCAACCAGAGGACACAGCCACAUAUCUCUGUGCCAGCAGUUCAACCACAGAGUUACAGAGUUCCUUGGUCCCCGUGCAUAAACCUCAUCAGACACCAGCUGAGAAGCAACAGGGGAUGAGCAGGGCUAUGGGAUGUUGGGACUUUCCCAACCGAGACCUUGACAGCUGUGAUCCAGGACUCCCCCAGCCAGAUGUUCAGGAGUUGGUGCUUCCUUGGAUUGGACACAUCUCCAUAGCACUCUUGAGUCUGGCAUUCCUUGUCAGCAGAGUUUUCUUUGAUUUUCCCUGGCUCAGACGCCUAACUCCCCUCACUGUCCUGGGGGUAAAAGUUCCUGCGGCUGGGGCCAGUGCAGCAUCCCAACACAGCUAA